UUGAGGGUUUGAUCCUGGCCCAGGGUUAACAUUGGCGGCGUGCAUUAGGCAUGCAAGUAGAACGGGUUCCGGCUUGCCGGAACAAGUUGCGAACGGCUGAGUAACAUGUAGGAACCUACCCCUUGGCGGGGGAUAGCUCACCGAAAGGUGGGGUAAUACCGCAUAAGUCCCGAUUUAAUCGGGAGAAAGGGCUUAACGGCUCACCGAGGGAGGGGCCUGCACACCAUCAGCUUGUUGGUAGGGUAAUGGCCUACCAAGGCUACGACGGUUAGGGGGCGUGAGAGCGUGACCCCCCAGAAUGGUACUGAGACACGGACCAUACACCUACGGGUGGCAGCAACCGGGAAUCGUGCGCAAUGGGCGAAAGCCUGACGCCGCGACGCCGCGUGAAGGAUGAAGGCCUUAGGGUUGUAAACUUCUUUUGACCCCGAUGAGAAUCGGGGUAGAAUAAGCACCGGCUAACUUCGUGCCAGCAGCAGCGGUAAUACGAAGGGUGUAAAUGUUGCCCGGAUUUAUUGGGCGUAAAGUGUUUCGUAGGCGCUCUGGAAAGUUAUGCUUCAAAGCCUCCGGCUCAACCGGAGAAAGGGGUGUAAUACUACUAGAGUUGAAGGAUGCUGGGGUAACCGGAACUGUCGGUGUAGGGGUGAAAUCCGUUGAUAUCGAUAGGAACUCCAAGGGCGAAGGCGGGUUACUAAGCAUUUCUUGACGCUGAGGAACGACAGCUAGGGUAGCGAAAGGGAUUAGAGACCCCUGUAGUCCUAGCCGUAAACUUUGCUCGCUAGCUUGUGGGGCUUUUAGAGUCUCAUGGGCGUAAGCUAACGCGUGAAGCGAGCCGCCUGGGGAGUACGAUCGCAAGAUUAAAACUCAAAGGAAUUGACGGGGACCUGCACAACCAGCGGAGUAUGUGGUUUAAUUCGAGACGAACCGAAGAACCUUACCCGGACUUGACAUGCUACUUAUUACCUUGUCAGAGAUGAUAGGGGAUUCUUAAAUUUUAGGAAAGGUAGCACAGGUGUUGCAUGGCCGUCGUCAGCUCGUGCCGUAGGGUGUUCCCUUAAGUGGGGUAACGAGCGCAACCCCUUUCCCGUGUUAAAUUGACCACGGGACACUAUCCACCUUUGGUGGGAGGAAGCGGGGACGACGUCAGGUCAGCAUGGCCCUUAUGUCCGGGGCUACACACAUACUACAAUGGCGCAGACAAUGGGUUGCCAAGCGGUAACGCGGAGCUAAUCCCAUCAAACUGCGUCUCAGUGGGGAUUGAGGGCUGCAACCUGCCCUCAUGAACGUGGAGUUGGUAGUAAUCGCGAAUCAGCUAAGUCGCGGUGAAUACGUUCUCAGGUCUUGUACACACCGCCCGUCAAGUCAGCAAAGUUGGGGGCACCCGAACACCGAUUGAAUCGGUGGAAGGUGAAACCAGCGAUGAGGAUUAAGUCGUAACAAGGUAUCCCUACUGGAAGGUGGGGAUGGAUCACCUCCUUUCUAAG
rnacentral:rRNA from 1 species